UUACAUUCUAGCCCGUCGCCACACGGAGCAUCAUCCUUCCGACCGCACGACUCUCCCUCGCCAAGGCUGCACACAAGACAGCAGUUGCAGUGGUCGGGCACAUACCCGCUCGGACAGCUCGGGCUCGGACAUUUACUCACAUCACACCUGGAUGAACAUUUCGUCUUCGGCUCGGCCACGGCGAGGUCCUGCGCAAAGAGCAUUGUUGCUGCAAACAGAAUGACCAGCAUUCCCUUUUCAGUUUUCAGAACUUAUGCAACCCCCAUCAGUUUCAUCUAACAGCCACAUGAGGGUGUCAGUGAAUCUUGUGUUCCUGCUUCAAUUCCAGAAUCUGUUCUUUUUUGCAGACUCUUUGCCAAUGUCAAAAAGAUGCUGUCCACCUGGUCCCCUUUGCGACCUUUGGCUGAAGUAAGAUAAAAAGACAUUCCAUGGACUUCGGCCAAAUGACGAGCCUGCUCGAUUAACACAGAUGUAGUCGUCGAAGUGACCAGAUCGGCCUUGUUGCAAACAAGGGCCCGGGGUAUAUCUGGCCCAAGAGAGUGCUGACGGCACUCGUCCAUCCA